CAUGUAUCAUUUUGUUUUUACAGCUGUCAGAGUUAAGUGGAGUUCCUGUUGAGUAUAUCUAUUAUUCAGUGGGAAUAUCAUUUCCAGUUGAGAUAUCAUGUCUUGAUAUUGAGAAAAUGCUGAACUGGUAUUCCAUCACUUCAUACAGAUACUCAUCAGGACUAUAUGAUGGAUGUGUCAUAUAUUACAAAGACAAUAGAGAGAAGAUGAAGAAGUUAACAGAUAAAGAGAGAUCAGAAAUACAAGAGGCAGAGAGAGCAAGGUCAGUAG